GACGAACGCUGGCGGCGUGCUUAACACAUGCAAGUCGAACGGUAAGGCCCUUCGGGGUACACGAGUGGCGAACGGGUGAGUAACACGUGGGUGAUCUGCCCUGCACUUCGGGAUAAGCCUGGGAAACUGGGUCUAAUACCGGAUAGGACCACAGCCUGCAGGGGUGGUGGGGGAAAGCUUUUGCGGUGUGGGAUGGGCCCGCGGCCUAUCAGCUUGUUGGUGGGGUGAUGGCCUACCAAGGCGACGACGGGUAGCCGGCCUGAGAGGGUGACCGGCCACACUGGGACUGAGAUACGGCCCAGACUCCUACGGGAGGCAGCGGUGGGGAAUAUUGCACAAUGGGCGCAAGCCUGAUGCAGCGACGCCGCGUGAGGGAUGACGGCCUUCGGGUUGUAAACCUCUUUCAGCACCGACGAAGCACAAGUGACGGUAGGUGCAGAAGAAGGACCGGCCAACUACGUGCCAGCAGCCGCCGUAA
rnacentral:rRNA from 1 species